CGUACACUCCUACGGGAGGCAGCAGUGGGGAAUAUUGCACAAUGGGCGCAAGCCUGAUGCAGCCAUGCCGCGUGUAUGAAGAAGGCCUUCGGGUUGUAAAGUACUUUCAGCGGGGAGGAAGGCGAUAAGGUUAAUAACCUUGUCGAUUGACGUUACCCGCAGAAGAAGCACCGGCUAACUCCGUGCCAGCAGCCGCGGUAAUACGGAGGGUGCAAGCGUUAAUCGGAAUUACUGGGCGUAAAGCGCACGCAGGCGGUCUGUCAAGUCGGAUGUGAAAUCCCCGGGCUCAACCUGGGAACUGCAUUCGAAACUGGCAGGCUAGAGUCUUGUAGAGGGGGGUAGAAUUCCAGGUGUAGCGGUGAAAUGCGUAGAGAUCUGGAGGAAUACCGGUGGCGAAGGCGGCCCCCUGGACAAAGACUGACGCUCAGGUGCGAAAGCGUGGGGAGCAAACAGGAUUAGAUACCCGAGUAGUCCCAUGA
rnacentral:rRNA from 1 species